GAUGAACGCUGGCGGCGUGCUUAACACAUGCAAGUCGAACGAAGCAAUCAGACGGAAGUUUUCGGAUGGAAGACUGAUUGACUGAGUGGCGGACGGGUGAGUAACGCGUGGGUAACCUGCCUCAUACAGGGGGAUAACAUUUGGUAACGAAUGCUAAUACCGCAUAAGACCACGGUGUCACAUGACACAGCGGCCAAAGGAUUUAUUCGCUUUAGGAUGGGCUCGCGUCUAAUUAGCUAGAUGGUGGGGUAACGGCUCACCAUGGCGACGAUCAGUAGCCGGACUGAGAGGUCGAUCGGCCACAUUGGGGCUGGGAUACGGCCCAGACUCCUACGGGAGGCAGCAGUGGGGAAUAUUGGGCAAUGGGCGAAAGCCUGACCCAGCGACGCCGCGUGGAGGAAGAAGGUUUUCGGAUUGUAAACUCCUGUCUUCGGGGAAGAUAAUGACGGUACCCGAGGAGGAAGCCACGGCUAACUACGUGCCAGCCGCCGCAGUA
rnacentral:rRNA from 1 species